rnacentral:rRNA from 1 species
GACGAACGCUGGCGGCGUGCUUAACACAUGCAAGUCGAACGGAAAGGCCCUGGUUUUGUGGGGUGCUCGAGUGGCGAACGGGUGAGUAACACGUGAGUAACCUGCCCUUGACUUUGGGAUAACUUCAGGAAACUGGGGCUAAUACCGGAUAGGAGCUCCUGCUGCAUGGUGGGGGUUGGAAAGUUUCGGCGGUUGGGGAUGGACUCGCGGCUUAUCAGCUUGUUGGUGGGGUAGUGGCUUACCAAGGCUUUGCCGGGUAGCCGGCCUGAGAGGGUGACCGGCCACAUUGGGACUGAGAUACGGCCCAGACUCCUACGGGAGGCAGCAGUGGGGAAUAUUGCACAAUGGGCGGAAGCCUGAUGCAGCAACGCCGCGUGCGGGAUGACGGCCUUCGGGUUGUAAACCGCUUUCGCCUGUGACGAAGCGUGAGUGACGGUAAUGGGUAAAGAAGCACCGGCUAACUACGUG